UACGGGGGGGGCAAGCGUUGUUCGGAAUUACUGGGCGUAAAGGGCUCGUAGGCGGCCAACUAAGUCAGACGUGAAAUCCCUCGGCUUAACCGGGGAACUGCGUCUGAUACUGGAUGGCUAGAGUACGGCAGAGGGGGAUGGAAUUCCGCGUGUAGCAGUGAAAUGCGUAGAUAUGCGGAGGAACACCGAUGGCGAAGGCAAUCCCCUGGGCCUGCACUGACGCUCAUGCACGAAAGCGUGGGGAGCAAACAGG
rnacentral:rRNA from 1 species